rnacentral:rRNA from 1 species
UACGUAGGGUGCAAGCGUUGUCCGGAAUUAUUGGGCGUAAAGAGCUCGUAGGCGGUUUGUUGCGUCGGCUGUGAAAUCCCGAGGCUCAACCUCGGGUCUGCAGUCGAUACGAGCAAACUAGAGUGUUGCAGGGGAGACUGGAAUUCCUGGUGUAGCGGUGAAAUGCGCAGAUAUCAGGAGGAACACCGGUGGCGAAGGCGGGUCUCUGGGCAGUAACUGACGCUGGAGGAGCGAAAGCGUGGGGAGCGAACAGG